UACGAGUGCCCCAAGCGUUAUCCGGAAUUACUGGGCGUAAAGGGUGUGUAGGUGGCAUUGUUAGUCUUUUGUUAAAUUCUCGGGCUCAACCUGAGAUCUGCAAGAGAAACGGCAAAGCUUAGAGAGUGAGAGGGGUGUAUGGAACUCAUGGUGUAGGGGUGAAAUCCGUUGAUAUCAUGGGGAACACCGAAAGCGAAGGCAGUACACUGGCUCAUAUCUGACACUGAAACACGAAAGCGUGGGUAGCGAAUGGG
rnacentral:rRNA from 1 species